AUGGAGACAGAUAAACUCCUGCUAUGGGUGCUGCUGCUCUGGGUUCCAGGCUCCAGUGGUGACAUUGUGCUGACCCAGUCUCCUGCUUUGGCUGUGUCUCUAGGGCAGAAGACCACCAUGUCUUGCAAGACCAGCCAGAAUGUUGAUAAUUUUGGGAAGAGUUAUAUUCACUGGUACCAACAGAAACCAGGAGAGCAACCCAAACUCCUCAUCUAUUUUGCAUCCAACCUAGCAUCUCAGGUUCCUGCCAGGUUCAGUGGCAGUGGGUCUGAGAGAGACUUCACCCUCACCAUCAAUCCUGUGGAGGCUGAUGAUGUUGCAACUUAUUACUGUCAGCAAGGUUGGGAGUUUCCUCUCACAGUGCUCCAGGGCUGA